rnacentral:lncRNA from 1 species
CCCGUUUCAAAAUGCGGCCAAAACGGCGGGAAUGACCGUUCCUAGCUAGUGGUUGAAUCUUGGAACUUUUUUGGUGUUUCUAUGAUUAAAUAGAUACUUAUGUACCUAGAAAUUAUUUUUGAAAAAAAUAAAGAGCAAACUACAAGGUAGCUACAGUUCAAAUUUGACCCGCUUCCAACUGAAUCGGCGGAAAUUUGUCUUUUUCAUGAGAGGUGGAUCAAAACUUUUUACACCCAACCAUUUGGUCAAUUGUGCAUUAAAUAUGGCCUAGUAUUUUAGAAAAUUGAUUUGGUCUAAUUUUGCAACAAUUUUUUGGGAGGUCCUUCACAAAAAAACCUCCUUUCAGGCACUCGAAAAAUGGAAAAUGGUUUUUUCGUCCAAAGAAAAUGAAAACUUCCUUAGGCAACAUUGUUUGCCAUUCCAAUAUGCACGCUUGUGCACAAUAUGAGAUGAUUUGAACAAACUAUGCCAUGAAUGUGGCCAUAAGAUUGAUCAUUUGGCUUGAAAUCCAUGAAUCUUCACCCAUGAUAGCUCAUUUCUGAGAACACUUUUUUUAAAUAAUUGUCGUAUUACAAGUUUGUUAUUUUUCCUGAAAGCUUGGUCACAUAUGAUGAGACAAUGCGAAGGUUUCCCAAUUUUUUGAUUGUUUUUUGAAUUUUUUAUGCCCAUUUCAAAAUGCGGUCAAAACGAUGGGAAUGACCGUUCCUAGCUAGUGGUUGAAUACUGGAAUUUUUUUGGUGUUUCUCUGAUUAAAUAGGUACUUAUGUACCUAGAAAUGAUUUUUGUAAAAAAUAACUAGGAAACUAUGAGGCAGCUACAGUUCAAAUUUGACCCGCUUCCAAUUGAAUCUGCGGGAAUUUUCCUUUUUCACGAGAGAUGGAACAAACCUUUUUACAACCAACCAUUUUGUCAAUUGUGCAUUAAAUAUGUCCUAGUAUUUUAUAAAAUUGAGUUGGUCCAAUUUUGCAACAAUUAUUUGGGAGGUCCUUCACAAAAAACCUCCUUUCCGGCACUCGAAAAAUGGAAAAUGGUUUAUUCGUCCAAAGAAAAUGAAAAUUUCCUUAGGCAACAUUGUUUUCCAUUCCAAUAUGCACCCUUGUGAACAAUAUGAGAUCAUUUGAACAAACUAUGCCAUGAAUGUGGCCAUAAGAUUGAUCAUUUGGCUUGAAAUCCAUGAAUCUUCACCCAUGAUAGCUCAUUUCUGAGAACACUUUUUUUAAAUAAUUACCGUAUUACAAGUUUGUUAUUUUUCCUGAAAACUUGGUCACAUAUGAUGACACAAUGUGAAGGUUUCCCAAUUUUUUGAUUUUUUUUGAAUUUUUUAUGCCCGUUUCAAAAUGCGGUCAAAACGACAGGAAUGACCGUUCCUAGCUAGUGGUUGAAUCUUGGAAUUUUUUUGGUGUUUCUCUGAUUAAAUAGGUACUUAUGUACCUAGAAAUGAUUUUUGGAAAAAAUAAAGAGCAAACUACAAGGCAGCUACAGUUCAAAUUUGACCCGCUUCCAGCUGAAUCGGCAGGAAUUUGUCUUUUUCACGAGAGGUGGAUCAAAACUUUUUACACCCAACCAUUUUGUCAAUUGUGCAUUAAAUAUGUCCUAGUAUUUUAGAAAAUUGAUUUGGUCCAAUUUUGCAGCAAUUAUUUGGUAGGUUCUUCACAAAAAACUCAUUUUGGGCACUCGAAAAAUGAAAAACGAUUUUUUCGUCUAAAGAAAAUGAAAACUUUCUUAGGCAACAUUGUUUGCCAUUCCAUGUUUGUUAUUUUCCUGAAAGGUAGUUCACAAUUGGUGACACAAUGAGAAGGUCUUUUAUUUUUUUUGAAUUUCUGUGAUCACAAAAUAGCUUACAUGAUUUUAACAUCUUAUUUUUAAAUCUAUCACGACCAAUUUAAUUGGUCAUAAUGUUGUAUUGCUUUCUGAUUGGUCCAUGGACUAGACACGCGGAUCAUGCACGAAACACCGUUGGAUCCUCCCGAAUCCAACGGCAGCCCUCACCCCUCG